rnacentral:lncRNA from 1 species
GUUUUGCUAAUUUCUUUAAUAUCAGAAGACAGCUGGAUUCUCAUUUCUGCUUCUGCAUUCAGUCUAUUGUGAUAUAGCAUAUCAUGUAACUUCUGAAAAACUUCACUGUACACAGAUGCUGACCUCACAGACUCCCUGAAAGGAUCUCCAUGACCUCUAUGGUUCCUUAGACUGCACUUUGAGAACUAUUGACGUACAGGGAAAAAUGCUCUUGGUGUUCCAGUUAAGCACAGAAUAAAAUCUGGACUGUGUCAGUUUGUAAAGAUCUUAUGUCUACUUGGUCAUCAGCCAAGAAGGGAUUCCGAAGAUAGAAGAGGAGGCAUCAACACCGUGAACAUCAUGGCUGAGUUAUUUUGUGAGAGGGAUAAGCCUAAAGUAAAAACCUUGGAUUUGCCUCUGUCCUUGAACAUGCUAUCUGGAAAGAGUUUUCUUAAAAGUAUUGUUGUGAACACAUCCAUUUUCCCAGUAUAGUUGAAUGCAGGGUUUAAUAAAUGGAAUGAAUCUA